UACGUAGGGUGCGAGCGUUAAUCGGAAUUACUGGGCGUAAAGGGUGCGCAGGCGGCGUCGCAAGUCAGGCGUGAAAUCCCCGGGCUUAACCUGGGAACUGCACUUGAAACUACGAUGCUGGAGUAUGGCAGAGGGAGGUGGAAUUCCACGUGUAGCGGUGAAAUGCGUAGAGAUGUGGAGGAACACCGAUGGCGAAGGCAGCCUCCUGGGCCAAUACUGACGCUCAUGCACGAAAGCGUGGGGAGCAAGCAGG
rnacentral:rRNA from 1 species